GAAAUGCGAUAAGUAAUGUGAAUUGCAGAAUUCAGUGAAUCAUCGAAUCUUUGAACGCACAUUGCGCCCGCUGGUAUUCCGGCGGGCAUGCCUGUUCGAGCGUCAUUUCAACCCUCAAGCUCUCCGGAGUUUGGUGUUGGGGCGCCUGGGGCUUUUCGACCUCAGGGCCCUCAAGUCCAUCGGCGGGACCGCCAGGACACUGAGCGCAGUAGUAUUAUUUCGCUCGGUAGGAUCUUCCACGGCGGGUCGAUCUGGCCGCUAAACCCCCCAAUUCUCACCAAAGGUUGACCUCGGAUCAGGUAGGAAUACCCGCUGAACUUAA
rnacentral:misc_RNA from 1 species